rnacentral:misc_RNA from 1 species
UCUCCGUUGGUGAACCAGCGGAGGGAUCAUUACCGAGUUUACAACUCCCAAACCCAAUGUGAACUAUACCUGUCUACCGUUGCUUCGGCGGGUUCGCCCGUCGAGGGACCGACAAAUAAACUCUUGUAUUUCUAUCUUUAGCAUGUCUGAGUGGAAUCAUAAACAAAUGAAUCAAAACUUUCAACAACGGAUCUCUUGGUUCUG